GAUGAACGCUAGCGGCAGGCUUAAUACAUGCAAGUCGUGGGGCAGCAUGAAGUAGCAAUACUUUGAUGGCGACCGGCAAACGGGUGCGGAACACGUACACAACCUUCCUUUUAGUGGGGAAUAGCCCAGAGAAAUUUGGAUUAAUACCCCGUAACAUAGCGAUGUGGCAUCACAUUGCUAUUAUAGCUUCGGCGCUAGAUGAUGGGUGUGCGUAUGAUUAGAUAGUUGGCGAGGUAACGGCUCACCAAGUCUACGAUCAUUAGCUGAUGUGAGAGCAUGAUCAGCCACACGGGCACUGAGACACGGGCCCGACUCCUACGGGAGGCAGCAGUAAGGAAUAUUGGUCAAUGGACGAAAGUCUGAACCAGCCAUGCCGCGUGAAGGAUUAAGGUCCUCUGGAUUGUAAACUUCUUUUAUAUGGGACGAAAAAAGGUCUUUCUAGAUCACUUGACGGUACCAUAUGAAUAAGCACCGGCUAACUCCGUGCCAGCAGCCGCGGUAA
rnacentral:rRNA from 1 species